rnacentral:lncRNA from 1 species
CCAACGUGCUAGGAUUACAGAUGUGAGCCACCAUGCCCAGCCAGUUGUGCGCAUUUUAAAGAUCUCUCUGCUACCAUGAUGAAGAGGGACUUUCAAGGUGCAGUUGGAGGGAUGGAAGAGAAGACAAGUUAUGGUCCAGGACAAAGACAAGGAGGCCUGAACAGGGUGAGAUGCAGACAUCUUUCCAUGACACCUGUGGAUGCUCUACAAUCUGGCCCAGGCUGACCAUAUCCUGCCUGGAGGGCCGGGUAAGUGGGGCACUCAGGCUUAGAACAGCCACAUGCCUUCCCCUCCCUGUGGGACCCACUUCCAAGGGAGCCAGCCUGAGGCUUGCAUCACUGUUUGGUCUCCUCCUACCCUUCCAGAUCUUCCUGGUGCUGGAGUUAGUGCCCCCUUUUUUCUCAGCUGAGUCAUGACCCUCACCCAGCCCAGCCCAGCCCCCUACCCUAGAUCUGCUCCUACACCUGAUUGAUGCCCUGGCCUCAGGCAGGGCUGGAGCUUGGGGCUGGUGCCUCGGGCCUUCAGCCUUGCCCAGGGCAGCCUGGGCAGAAGCUGAGAUUGGAUGUCAUUUGUCAACCUUGGCAGAGAAGUACUGAAUGCGUCAAAAUAAUUGAAGGUUAUUUGGUGCCUGUGGGAGGGAUUUUUAUUCCCAAGGAUUCUGCUGGACCAUUUGGGGCAGCCCUGUUUGGCUAGCUGAGGGUUCCUAUGUUUUCCAACAAUUGGAUGUUUACAGUAUCUGUGCUCUUGCUUUUUAAAAAUGUCCUCAUUUAGAAUAGCUUCCUUUUUUUAUAUGUUUUCCUUUUUAUCUUUUAAGUGGGAAAUGGGAGGUGAGUAUGAGGGGACAAUUGUGAAGCUUGCCUGUGCUCCAAGUUAGGGACAUGAGACCCCUUCACCCCUGGUUUUCCCCUGUAAUCCUUCCAGAGCUAUAGAGCUGAGCUUGUAUUCAAGCCACAGACAGGGCCCUUGACCUUGAACCAGACAAGGCUGACAGCCCCGGAGCAGGAGCGCUGCUGUGAAAUAACUCGGAGAUAUCCUCCCAGAGCAGUGAAGAGGCUGGAAGGAGUCAGGAAGCCUCAAAUCCCCAGCCUCUGACUUACAAAGCACCCAGACCUCCCUCAGGACUAGACAGAGCAGCCAUUUCACCCAGAGCUGCCUCCAUUCCAGCACUGGGAUGUGGUUGGUAAUGUGAGAUUCUCACUAUCCAAUGCCGCAAUCAGAGCCAUAUGCGGCUAUUUAAACCUCAAUUUAAAUGAAUUAAAAUUAAAUAAAGUUUAAAAACCAGUUCCUCAUCCACACUAGCCACAUUUUAAGUGCUCAUGAGCCACAUGUGACUGGUGGCUGCCUCACUGGACAGCACAGGUUCAGAACACCUCCGUCAUCACAGGGCUCUCUUGGCAGGAUUUAUGGGUCCCCUUUACGCUGAGCUGUCUACCCCUGUUGCCUAAAUGCCUUUCCUACCUAACAGUAGCUGUUCAGUGGGUGCAUUGGCCCUACAGACUCUCCCAAGCUUCUUUCUCCACCAGUAGAAGUAGCUAUGUGGCCUUGUGAGGUCUCCCUUCUAGAAAGAACAGGUAGCAUGCCUCUGACAACCACGUUGACCAGGUGACCUGCAAGCAUCCCCAGGAUCAACUAGCAACCUAAGAUUUGCUGCCCAAACUAAUGCUUCUCCCUGUCCAGUGGACACUUCUCAACUAGGCUGCCCUUCUGUGUCACUGCUGCUACUUAGUCACUCGUUGACUUUGGAAGAAGAGGCCCUUCAGAGGCUCCAAUGACCAAGAACAUUCCCUUCCCUACUCCUCAGUGUCACGCCCCGCCUCCUCCCAAGCAUCACCAUCACCAAAAAUAAAACUGCCUUGGUAUCCUUGCUGUAGUCCAUGAAGCUUCUGUAUUAGAAUUACUUGGAAGGAAGAGGCUUGUUUAAAAUGCAGAUUUUGGCUGGGCGCGGUGGCUCACACCUGUAAUCCCAGCACUUUGGGAGGCGGAGGCAGGUGGAUCACCUGAGGUCAGGAGUCUGAGACUGCUCUACUAAAAAUACAAAAAUUAGCCGGGUGUGGUGGCGUGAGCCUGUAGCCCCAGCUACUCAGGAGGCUGAGACAGGAGAAUUGCUUGAACCUGGGAGGCAGAGGUUUCAGUGAGCCGAGAUCGCACCACUGCACUCCAGCCUGGGGGACAGAGAGAGACUCUGUCUCAAAAAAAAAAAAAAAAAAAAAAAAAAAAAAAAGGCCAAUUUCUUCUCCCCACAGCAAGCCAAUGGAAUCAGAAUCUCUGGGAGGUGGAGUCUACUGAAUUUGAGACCCACUGCAAAUGAGGAAGCCACACAGGAAGCACCUUGGGAGUCCUUGGAAACUAGAAAUCAACCCCCUUUGCAUUCUAAGGUCUCUGGUUUAUUGCAGACCAGCUCU